AGAGAAUACUUUGUUGAAAACCGUUUAUCAUUUUCUUCUGCUCCUCGUUGGGUUCGACACUCUUCUAUCGAAAGGACUACCAUAGAUCGCCUGUACUCACCGCCGCCUCCGAUCGCCGCCAUGCUCACCACCACCUCUCGCUGACAGGGCUUCGCCCGUACAUCUGGCACGAAGGGCAGGCGGAUCCGGCGGGGAGGUGUAGAAGGGCUCCCCGUCAUCCGUUCCCGCCGGCCACGUAGCUGGCCGAUCCGAAUCUGGUUGCUGACCUCAGGCACAGCGGUGUGGUGAGGCUAGAAGGAGGGACGGCAUCCUCAUAUCGUCGGGCAAGGUCUGCUUACCUCAGCCGAGCAGCGCUGUUGAUCUUCAUGGCGAGGCCCUCCCAGUCGGCGGUGAAGUAGCCGGAGCUGGACCGAGGUCGAGCGCGACAAGCUACUCGAGGCGUGCAGCUGUUUCUGUAGUUCAAGAUUAAAGGCAAGAAUCAGGCAAAUAUGAUUAUGAGAACAAGGCUAAUGAUGGAGAACCUUCAUCUACGGAAGCUGAGCAGUCUAUUGGGAAAACUAAGUUUCAAUGUGCAUCCUGAGUUUCAGCUACCUGAAAUCAAAGGCCAAUUUCAGUCGAUCCCGAAGUAAACUACCACAUAAGACAAGGAACAGGACACAGUUAUUUUCUGGAUUUCCAGAAGACAAGGACCAGGACCACAGCAAACAUCCUGAAUUUGAAGAAAAAAGUACUGAUGCAACCAUGGAAGGGGUGGAAGAUUAACUGUGGUCAUUUGGCGUAAAAUAUUUGACGAUGGUUUUUUCUCCCAAACUGGCAAGGUUCUACUUGGUACUGAUUGCCAUACCUACACUGUUGGAUCCUUUGCCCAACUUGCAACUGGAAACGUGAAACAGUGAUGCAGAUUUUGUGAUAGAUCUGGAAAGGCCUUUCGGAAGGUGUGCAAACAUGUAUCAUUGUUUCAUUGGAAAUGGUAUAACAAUGGAAAUAAUAUGUACGAACCAAUCUUUGCAACGAACAAUAGUGCAUAUAUUGAGUGUUGUGUCAUAUUAGCACCCUUUCCAUUCUGGUGCGAUAAAUAUAGGUUCUUAGCAUGUUUUUACUUUCUGUCAUGGACAUCUGUCUCUUUGUCAUAACGUAGUGAUAUGUCUUCAACGUAUCUAUAAUUUUUUAUUGUUCCAUGCUA